rnacentral:lncRNA from 1 species
GAAUUCUUCUCUCAAGUGGGAAGGCGCCCGAGAGUAGACACCAGCUCGUUUUGGCCUCCUGUUCUGCCACCCUUCAAACUUGGCUGCUGCCCCUCCACGCCGGCUUCCCCGCCACCUUCCAAGCACAAAGAAGGAGGAGGGCAAGGGAGCAAACGGCAGGAUGACCAUGCCAGUUGCUCUGUCCCUUUUCCAAAGCUUUCCCAGAACUGUACCCAGAGACCCCACUCACAUCCCAGUGGCCAGACUGGAUCACAUGGCCAUUCCUACCUGCGAAGGAGGCUAAAAAAGAGUGUGCGGGGAAUAUUGGAAGAAAGGAAGGAUCCUUGCCCCUCCCCCAUUCACAGCAGAGCAGAACAGCAGGUUUGUCUGUUCAAAAACACAUGCCUUGGGAGUUGCUUCACUCGGGGUCAAACCUGUCUUCUCAGCAGCAAAGAUGAAGAAUUAGGAAAAACCUGGGAUUAAAAGGAGCAAGAGAGAACAUUGUCUUUAGAGGGAGUGGGCAAGAACGACCCAAGCUUCUAGGCUCUAAUCUGGGAGGCACAGAGGAUCGGGAAGGAUCUGAAAAACUGACACUGAACCUUCGCGAAGCAGAGAGAGAAGCUGGGGAGUUGGGAGGAGUCCACAGAAGUGAAAAGCUCCUGACCUCUGAGCCUCAGUCCCCACGUCCCUGAAAUAAGAAUAAGAACCAUACUUGCUCUGCCCAUUUCAAAGAGGUGGUGUGAGGAUUAAAGGAAAUGAUUUGAUGCCAUUUGCUGAUGAUAAUUGACAUGUGUGUGCUUGUGAAGAAAGUGAAAAGGACACGUUCCUGAACCACAGCAAUUUCGUGUAGCACAGUCAACGGAUAGAGGGCAAGAUGAUGGCCACUCUGUGUUUGCACCGUCCAGAUCGUAGAUGAGGGUGGAAACUUUAUUAUCUAUGCAACGAGGAAUGGAUGUUUAACUUGGAAAAGAGAGGAGAUAAGGACACCAAGGCACAGAGAGGUUAAGGAAACCCUACUAAGUCAAGCUAGUAAAUGGCGGAACCUGAACUUGAAUCCACGUGGUUGGAAAUCAGAGUCCAGUGCUUACACACAAUGCUGUGCAGCAUUUUCAUGGGCAUUUACAGGUUAUAUCAUAUUAAGACCUAGGAGACGACAUCUGAUCCAGAAAUCUGUAAACGUAGGAAAAUACAGUCUCUC